AAGUCGUAACAAGGUAACCGUAGGUGAACCUGCGGUUGGAUCAUUAACAAAUUCAAUCAAAAAAUUGAGGGUAACCUCUUUUUUUUACACACAAUGUGAACUGUUUAUUGUCUCUGGGUGGUUCUUUAGGAUUUUUAUCAAAUCCUAACCCACCUACUUUUAUAAAACUUACUAUUAAUUGGCCUUUAAAUCUUAUAAAAAAAGUUAAAUUAAAAAACAACUUUUGGCAACGGAUCUCUAGGCUCUU
rnacentral:misc_RNA from 1 species